rnacentral:lncRNA from 1 species
UUCAAAAUCAUUUCUUAAGUAACAAAAUUGGCCCUCUAUUGAAAUCAUGGCUCUGUCCUAGUAUGACUAAGCACAUUCAUGAGGUGUCAAAACAGAAUGAUACAAGAAUAUAUAAUCCAUUUAGACAUCCAAGAGCACUACAUAGAAUGGCGAGAUACACUGCAGUCCCCCUUUGGGAGUCAUCAUCAUUUUUCAUCAACCCUGUUUCAGUAACGGCAGAAUAACGAGGAUUACUAUCAGGAGAAGGCCAGAUAUGAAUCCCAUGGCAAGAGGCAGUCCUUCGAGAACAACAUUACUUUCUUCUCUGUCAUUUUCCUCCUCCUCGGGAGGCUUUGAAGUGGAGUAGCAAACUAAGAAAAAUUCACCACAGAGACCAGG